AAAGGGACUGGCCCAUAUCACAACCUCAUAAUCAUUCAAAAUACACAAGCUCCGUGACUCCACUUCACCAAACUACUUAACCACCAACGCCACCCGCCACCACCGCGACCUUACCGACACCACCACCGCAACCGUACCACCAACCAAUAUAGUAUAUACAAUCGCACAACAAUCAUACCGCCGCAAAGAUUAUACGGCAACGACGAUAUAUCCACUAAUUGCAUCAUGUGCCUCAUUAAUGCUCGGGUUUGAGAACUUAUUGUGAGAUUAAUAUCAUCCAUAAUUGCAGCACCGAGAAUGAUAGGUGCAGCAGCUCUUGAACUUGUUCUAAGUGUAAAUGCAGCUCUUGAACUCCAAGAUUUACCUAUUUCCACUCUGAAUGAUAGUUGCAGUAGCUCUAUCCUUACUCGAGAUAAUGUCGCUUUCUUUGAUUGAAUAUGCUAAACUUUUAGCAGAGAUGUUUAACUUAAACAUAUACGGCUUUUGAAAUAAGCUUUUCGAUGAAGUUUAAUGUUGUUGAGUGACUUUGUGUGCAGAUAGAAAAGCAGGAUUUUGGGCUUAAUCCAAUGAAUUGUCCAGGACAUUGCUUGAGGUUUGAUUAUCGAGUGCAUUCUUAUAGAGUUAACAAUAAAAAAAGAUUUUGCUCAAAAGGGCAUUGAUGCUGCCAAGAUUGUUGGCUUUGCUCCUGCCACUUCUGUCCUCGUUGUCUCGAUAAGUUAUGAAGCUCCUGUCACAGGUGGAUUCGGGGCUAAGAUCUUUGUGUCGUUAGUUGCACGUUGUUUAAAAGGGUGAGUCCUUGUAUUACUUCAUGCAUUGUUUACACUUGUUUUAUUAGAACUAGUAUGCUCUGUGAGAAACCUAAAAAGUUGGAUACUUGACGGACUAUAGAAGAACUUUGUUCUGCGGUAAACUGCUCUUUCUAUGGGUAUUUUAAAUAAUAUAGAACUACAAAUGCAUCUCAUAUAUGUAGUCGUAAACAAGGUGAUCACUAGUUAGCAGGAACUGAAAAUGAGGCCAUCUUGAAUAAAAGAAUUACAUAAUGAUUCUUUAGAAAACAUACAAGAUCUGAUUACAUGUGAAGUAUUGAAUGAAUUAGGACUAUGUUAGAAUGAUGAUUCUGGUUGAUAAAUGUAUCAAGAUUUCCAAAAAAUUUUCAAUACAAGUAUACAGUAUACUAUUUGGAUUCUCAUUUCAACAUGUGCCUUAAUUUUAAACAAAUAUAAAUUGCUCAUUGGUACCUAUUUACUUAAUUUUAAAUGAAUAUACUAUUUUGAUUCUCAUUUCAACAUGUUAUAUCAAUAUUUAUGUUAUAUAUGCAUAAUUGUUUUAAUUUAUCCCCUGCAGA